rnacentral:rRNA from 1 species
UACGUAGGGUGCGAGCGUUAAUCGGAAUUACUGGGCGUAAAGCGUGCGCAGGCGGUUUUUUAAGCCAGAUGUGAAAUCCCCGGGCUUAACCUGGGAAUGGCAUUUGGGACUGCAAGGCUCGAGUGCGGCAGAGGAGACUGGAAUUCCUGGUGUAGCAGUGAAAUGCGUAGAUAUCGGGAGGAACACCAAUGGCGAAGGCAGCUCGCUGGGACGUUACUGACGCUGAGACGCGAAAGCGUGGGGAGCAAACAGG